GACGAACGCUGGCGGCGUGCCUAAUACAUGCAAGUAGAACGCACAGGUUAUACCGUAGCUUGCUACACCAUACACUGUGAGUUGCGAACGGGUGAGUAACGCUUAGGUAACCUGCCUGGUAGCGGGGGAUAACUAUUGGAAACGAUAGCUAAUACCGCAUGAUAUUGAUUAUUGCAUGAUAAUUGAUUGAAAGAUGCUAUUGCAUCACUACCAGAUGGACCUGCGUUGUAUUAGCUAGUAGGUGAGGUAACGGCUCACCUAGGCGACGAUACAUAGCCGAACGGAGAGGGUGGGCGGCCAGACUGAGACUGAGACACGGCCCAGACUCCUACGGGAGGCAGCAGUAGGGAAUCGGCGGCAAUAGGCGAAAGUCUGACCGAGCAACGCCGCGUGAGUGAAGAAGGUUUUCGGAUCGUAAAGCUCUGUUGUCAGGGAAGAACGGGUGUGAGAGUGGAAAGUUCACACUGUGACGGUAUCUGACCAGAAAGGGACGGCUAACUACGUG
rnacentral:rRNA from 1 species